rnacentral:misc_RNA from 1 species
UCAAACUUGGUCAUUUAGAGGAAGUAAAAGUCGUAACAAGGUCUCCGUUGGUGAACCAGCGGAGGGAUCAUUAUUUUAACAGUUAUAAUACUGUAAAACCCGUGUGAACAUACCAAUAGUUGCUUCGACGAGAUUGCCCCGGGCACCUUGCGUGCCCCGGAACUAGGCGCCCGUCGAGGGAUAUCAAAUUCUGUUUUACUUGAGUAUCUUCUGAGUAUUACUAUUAUAAAUAAGUAAAAACUUUCAACAACGGAUCUCUUGGUUCUGGCAUCGAUGAAGAACGCAGC